rnacentral:sRNA from 1 species
UAGCGUCUCAGUAAGCGUCAGACUAUCCCACACUCUCAAACCAAAUGUGACCAGGUUUGUACUCACUGGCAAGGUUGUAUAGCUCUGGCAUUAUCUUUGCCCUAACGAAUGCUGUAUUGCGGAGCUGUUCUCCCUAUCUCAUAGGUAGCAUGGGUAGGACCAUUCUAAGAAUGUGCUCUUCCCCAAGACAGUCAUCCCCAACUCUCCAACCAAACUCCAGUGGGAUCCCGGAACUCCAGAGCUCCACUUAUGAGACAUGGGGCUUGUCCAGUUUCUGGAGCCUUUGAGAUGCCUGGUGGUCAGGUCUAUGCACUUGGCCUUACAGCCUAGAAGGGAUAAUAUGGUUCCCCAGGUCAGUGGGAAAAUAUCAUGAAUGAAUUCUGAGGAGCUGAAGACAGGUUGGUAAGUGGAAAAGCAAGUGCUGGUACUGCAGCUGCCCAGGUCCUUCGGUACACCAGCACUAAGAGCACGCAGCCCCCAGUGCCCGCUCACAAUGCCUGCUCCCCCAGUAUGGCCUUGUCAAACCAGUACAGCACCAGAUCAGACAGAGUUCAGACACAGUCAGGUUGGCAUGUACUGGCCCACAGGCUUGAACCCCUACAAGGCCAUUCUGAGUACCAACAUUGGCAGUAUCACAGCCACAGUCUAUGACUUCAUCUCAUGAACUGCCCCCAACAUCAAGUUAAGAGAGACUUAAAUCCACCAGUCCUGAUGAAUGUGCCUUUUACAGGUCCGGAUUCAAUCCCAGCUUAAUUACAUUGGCCUUGACCAACCUGGCAUCCAUGCAAAGAGGUUAAAGCUCCUACAAGAACCGCAAAGGACUGAGCAGUGAGACAAGUGCAGGCUAAGAGAGGUGAGGCGGGUCCGUACCCAUCUCAUCCCAGCCUCGCUCCUUAUCCACUGUCUCCAAUCUGCCCCUCAGGGAAAUAAUUUGGUCUAAAUAAUCUCAGAAUAGGGGUCCAGAAAAAAUAAGUUUAAAAUGACUAGAUGCAUUAAACCAUGUACUCCAAUCCAACCAGAGAUUAAACAAGAGAGAAAGGAGAGAGAUUCCUCCAGAUCCAAUCCUCCUAUCUCCAGUUAUAUUUUAUGGAGAACUUACGUCAUUCACAAAAGAGAUGUAGUUUCCCCAGGGGAGACAGCAGGUGUACAUUUCCUCUCAAGGUUAUUUAAUUGCUGUCAGGAAGACAUAUGAUUAACAAAACCAAAUGCUGGAAAUAUGAAGUAUAGACAAUUUUAAAGUUGUUUAUGUAGUUGAUUACCGUAUAUCAUACAAUGUGUUUAUUUGCCAUAAACCUGCCUAUCACAAACUGUUUCCACACCUGUGCGUUGGUACUAAACAACCCACCGCUUAGAUCUGCACAAAUCCUCGGCUCUGAGGAUGGCCAGGAACACAGAGUCGCUUUCACUGGUGGCUUGAGUCACCUCCCAGGUACCGGCUUGACCAUGUGCUUUGACACCCUCCUUCUGAAGCCAAGGCCUGCUGUCCCAUAGUGUCCUCUGCUUGACAAUAACCCUCUAUGGAAGAAAAACAGUAUGGAACUGGCAGGCCUCUACAGUUCCUCUUUGUCCUCCAUGCAGUUGCUGCCCUGAUCAAGGCCGAUAUUUGUCACACACUGACACCGAAGAGGCCAGAUUAAGAGGAAGCAUUUUGAAAGGCCCGGAACAGAACGGAAAAUGGAGAAGAGAGCCCAGCAUGCCUUGUGCCGUGCCAGAGGAGUACAUAGAAAGAUCUCGAAAGAGUCAGGUUGGUCCAGACCUGCUGGCGAGCCUGCAGCCUCAGCCACCAAUUACCUAAUACACUUGUGACAUCUGCUUUCCUUGUUGUGAGAAAACACAGGGAGGAAGUGUUGAAGAAAAGAAUUGUUUGAGGACCCUCAUCUGGAAAGAAGAGAAUUCUCAGUGGAGUGGGACAUUUGAGGUUUGGAUCCACUCCCCCGAAUGGGAAGACAGUCUAUAAGACUGAGGGCGUGUGUCCAGUCAAAAGGUUACCCCUAAGAAUCUUCAAAACCCAAUGCGAGGCUGGGUGGGAAGGUUUUCCCACCAGAUGUAUGCAACAGUGCCAUCCAGCGGCUAUAGCAAUAAUUACAAGUAUAUCUCAUUUUCAAAGGCGCAGAAGAGGCAGUGCAUGCACUGCACACCCAGCAACACCGGAAGCUUCACUUCUUCCAUUGGUAAAUGGUUGAGGGAAGGCAUUGGAACCCCUGAGCAUUUUUAUUGUAGAGCCUCACUAAGAAACUCAUCGAUAUUUCCCCAAGUUGUCAAAAAUGAACUAAGAGAAGGAGAAAAAGGGAAAUGGGGUAGUGAAGAGGAUAGAUGAAUGAAAAAACGUGAAGAAGCAAAGGGAAGAGUGUCAAGAAAAGAGAAAGGAGAGAGGAAACCAGGACUUCCCACCUGGCCUUACUAAGUUUUUGCAGUUG